rnacentral:rRNA from 1 species
AGGACAAACGCUGGCGGCGUACCUAAGACAUGCAAGUCGAACGGGCGCUUCACCUUCGGGUGGGUGUGCUAGUGGCGGACGGGUGAGUAACGCGUAGGAACCUGUCAUCAAGAGGGGGAUAACGCUGGGAAACCGGCGCUAAUACCGCAUGUGGUCAUGAAAAUGAAGAAAGCAGCAAUGCGCUUGAUGAGGGGCCUGCGUCCGAUUAGCUUGUUGGUGGGGUAAAGGCCUACCAAGGCAUCGAUCGGUAGCUGGUCUGAGAGGAUGGUCAGCCACACUGGGACUGAGACACGGCCCAGACUCCUACGGGAGGCAGCAGUUAGGAAAUUUUCCCAAUGGGCGCAAGCCUGAGGGAGUAACGCCGCGUGGAGGAUGACGGCUUUCGGGUUGUAAACUCAUUUUCUGUGGGAAGAGUAGAAGACGGUACCGCAGGAAUAAGCCUCGGCUAACUACGUGCCAGCACGCCGC